CGUAAUAAAAUCAUCUUCAUGCAUAACAAUGCACCAUCUCAUACUGCAUACCUCUGCAUCAAUGGCUGUUAUGGGGAUAAAAGGAGAGAAAGUCAUGCUGUGGCCUCCAUACUCCCCUGACCUCAAUCCUAUUGAGAACCUUUGGAGCAUCCUCAAGCAAAAGAUCUAUGAGGGUGGGAGGCAGUUUACAUCCAAACAGCAGCUCUGGGAGGCUAUUCUGAC